GAAGCGAGGCAUUUUGGCUAGUCACCGCGUUUUUGCUGCGUCACAGGGAGACAGAAGAUGGGCUGCUAUUUCGUCGGCUAAAUGCUAUCAUUUUAAGCACCGUUCCAAAGAAAACAGGGAUCUUGCCAGAGGAAAAUAACAUAUACCAUAAAGGAAAAAGAAAUGUGCAUCAAGGCAAAUAAACAGCUCUCUACUAAGGGCCUAGGAUCUUGCUAGACGAGUCAUUUCUCUGGUUGAAAAGCAGUUGAGAAAGGCAAGACAAGGGGGGCGGGGGCCCAGCAGGGCACCUCUGAGCCCUUCCUGCUGCUCUUCAAAGACAGACGCAUUUUCCUUUCUACGGUCUCCUUGCAAGUCUUCUGUAGGCCCUGCCACCUUCAGGCUGACUGACUGCCUCCUUCAAAUAUCAGCAUUUGGAAGGGUACUGGGGAGUCGACACCCUCAUGUCUGUGAGCUGACUGCAGGACGUCUCCUGUCCAGGUGCUGGCACCUCAUCUAACAUUUGAAGGCUCAGAAGAAAAGCCACGUCUGCCUACACAAUCUCACAAUCCGGCUUCAGCAAAGCAUGAGUUAAUUCAACUUCAUACUCGUGAACGUGAAGCGGGGGUUGGAAGGAAUGAAGGCUGCAGGACACCCAUGUACCAAGAAAAAGAAAGACAAAUUGGUUGUUUUAUCUACUUUACAUCAUGAUGGAGUCCUAAAAAGGGCCCCAUGAAGGCAGGCAGCCCAGGGAGGAAUGACUGGACGGUGACAUUGUGCAGGGGGUCUGGAAGUUGCCAGCGCAGGGGUUAGCAGCUGCAGCCUGGCCUGGUCCUGUCUGCCUGGCUGUCAAACCCAGAAGACCGUGGUUUCUGGUGGCCUCUGUGUGACAGCGGAGGAGGUGGGGCGAGGCCUGGAAGUGAAGCAUCUCGUGAGCCACUUAAGUGUUUAUGAAGCUCGCUAAUGUGCUUAAAUGAACGAGAAGCAGGUACUUGCUCCCAGGACCAGAGCCACCAAAGCAAUUUCCUCUGCAGCCCCUCAUACUUCGCACACUGGAAGCUUGCAUUCUUUCCCAGAGGACAGCCGGAUUACAGCACCGCCUCUAAUGCAACCCGAUCUGGUUUCUUUGAGCGCCGCGGUGAACGUGCAAUCUAUCUCAUAAAUGCAUCGCAGUGUUCCACAAAUCACCCACGUUCAUCCCUUGAGACGUCUUUAACUCGGGGCUUAGAGUUGCAAAUGAAUUCUCCUAUGGAUCUAUUAUUCCAUCAAAUAGCGGAGAGAGGGGACUAGCUUGUGCAGAGCCUUCAUAGAGCUGGGCUAAAUUCGAUUAUGCAAAGUCUAACGAGCACCAUUCAGCAAAACCAUGGUGGGUGUGAGCUGCAGGCCAGCCCCUCCACUGGGCCAUUAUCCAGGGGUAAACACCACUCGUGGGUUAGUUCCACGAGUUACUGGCUGAUUUGACCUGUGAUACUCCAAGGUGGAAGUAACCAAAUAAUAUGUAUCAUGAGCCCCAAGAACGAAGCCAGUGGAGAGUGGUACAUGCUAGAGGGUAACGCCUGGCCCUUUGCAGGACAGCACGUCAGCCAUGCGCCAUGGGACGAUGGUGGUGGCUGGGACACAGGAGGCCACGGCAGGAAAUGGGCAGGUGGGUGGGUCUAUGUAAGCUGGCUUUAGACUUCAAUCCACAAGCAUUUGCAGCUCAACUACUCAGCGUCUUAUCUUAUUUAAUCCUUUCAGCAAUAAACACUCUUUUCACAUGUAGUAAGGUUAAGGAGUCUACAUCACACCCUUUAUCAUUAUUAAUAAAGGGACACACCCUCCAGGGAUCCUAGGGAACCUCCUACCCACCCUGUGGUCACUCUAGGGAAAGGAAAGCUCUCAGGGACCGACGGGAGCCUGGGCACAUGCGCCACCACUCUCUCCUUUAUCCCCUCUAGCCCGGCUUGCUGGCUCUCACUUUCUUUUGUGCACUAGAACUCACGUACAAGUUGCACACCCAAACCCUUGCAUGCUGCAUUUCAGAGUCAACUUCAGUGAUUUUUGAGAGUGAUUUUGACAAUCCCAGUCAAAAUUCUAGCAGGUUUUUUUUUUUUACAUGACAAGUGGAUUCUAAAAUUCAUAGGAAAAUGCAAAUGACCUAGAAGAGCCAAAGCAAUUUUGGAAGGAGUAAAGUCGAAUGGCUGACGCUACCAGAUUUCAAGAUUCACUUGAAACGCACAGGAAUCAAGACAGGGUGGUGUCGACAGAAGGAAGGCGUCAGAGCAGGGUGACAGGAGGCAGGGCCACACACAGACGGCUGAUUGAUACCCGACAAAACCGCCGAGGUAAUUUCACAGGGAAAGGAACUCUUUUGAACAAAUGGUGCACCAACAAUUGGAUAACCAUACGGAAAAAAUUUAAAAAACAGAAGAACAUUGACCCUUCACGCACAUCAAACAUAAAUUAACUCAGAAUCCAUCAUAGGCUGGGUGUUGUGGCUCAUGCCUUUAAUCCUAGCACUUUGGGAGGCCA
rnacentral:lncRNA from 1 species